rnacentral:rRNA from 1 species
GACGAACGCUGGCGGCGUGCUUAACACAUGCAAGUCGAACGGAAAGGCCCUGCUUUUGUGGGGUGCUCGAGUGGCGAACGGGUGAGUAACACGUGAGUAACCUGCCCUUGACUUUGGGAUAACUUCAGGAAACUGGGGCUAAUACCGGAUAGGAUCUCCUGCUGCAUGGUGUGGGUUGGAAAGUUUCGGCGGUUGGGGCUGGACUCGCGGCUUAUCAGCUUGUUGGUGGGGUAUUCGCUUACCAAGCCUUUGACGGGUAGCCGGCCUGAGAGGGUGACCGGCCACAUGGGGACUGAGAGACGGCCCAGACGCCUACGGGAGGCAGAAGUGGGGAAUAUUGCACAAUGGGCGGAAGCCUGAUGCAGCAACGCCGCGUGCGGGAUGACGGCCUUCGGGUGGUAAACCGCUGUCGCCUGUGACGAAGCGGGAGUGACGGUAAUGGGUAAAGAAGCACCGGCUAACUACGUG